GAUGAACGCUGGCGGCGUGCCUAAUACAUGCCAGUCGAACGAAACUUCUUUAUCACCGAGUGCUUGCACUCACCGAUAAAGAGUUGAGUGGCGAACGGGUGAGUAACACGUGGGCAGCCUGCCCAAAAGAGGGGGAUAACACUUGGAAACAGGUGCUAAUACCGCAUAACCAUAGUUACCGCAUGGUAACUAUGUAAAAGGUGGCUAUACUACCGCUUUUGGAUGGGCCCGCGGCGCAUUAGCUAGUUGGUAGGGUAAAGGCUUACCAAGGCAAUGAUGCGUAGCCGAAUUGAGAGGUUGAUCGGCCACAUUGGGACUGAGACACGGCCCAAACUCCUACGGGAGGCAGCAGUAGGGAAUCUUCCACAAUGGGCGAAAGCCUGAUGGAGCAACGCCGCGUGGGUGAAGAAGGUCUUCGGAUCGUAAAACCCUGUUGUUAGAGAAGAAAGUGCGUGAGAGUAACUGUUCACGUUUCGACGGUAUCUAACCAGAAAGCCACGGCUAACUACGUG
rnacentral:rRNA from 1 species